GAACUGCAUCUAUCUUCGUCUCCGUCACAACUUGCAACGAAAGAAUCUGUACCUGACUGGUCUCUUCUCCCUGAAGAGCUACUGCACAUUAUCUCAGAGAAUCUAGAAGACUGUUUCGAUGUUAUUCAUGCUCGUUCUGUUUGCCGCCCAUGGCGUUCCAUCUUGCCCUUUCCUUCUUGGCUAUUACGCACACGUUACUCUCUUCCCUCGUUCGCAAGGUUACCUCGCAAAAGCAAAGGCUUUUGCACACUCGAGAAGUUCCCUAUGUUUCUCGUUAGAGUCCGAGCUCCUGCUUCUGCGUCGACUUAUGAGUAUUACUUAGGAGGAAUAGACCAAGAUAAGUCAGAGGAUCAUAUGGAGCUUCCAUCUCCUCCUAUUCAGUGCACAGUGAAAGUUAAGAUCGGAGAAUCUGAUCCUACCUUGAUGAACAUUCUCGACUGUCAGAUUUUCUCUCUUGGCUAUCAGUACAGAAUGGUCGGUUGGGAUCCUGAGUCAUUGUCAAGAAAAUUCAGAGCAGUGGCUUUUCUUCCACUUAACAGAGAAGGAGGAGGAGGAGGAUUUGUGGUGCUUCUCGGCUACUAUCGUGAUUUGUUUGUGUUAACAAGUGCUGAAAUGAGGUGGAUACGGCUUGAGAGAAUCUCAACAGCUGUUUGUAGUGAUAUAGUCACGUUUAGAGGCAGGUUUUAUGUAGACUUUCUUAACGGGGACACAUUUGUCUUCGAUCCUUAUUGUCUAGAAGCGACUCCACUGAUGCCCUCGGAGAUUUCGAACUGUGGUUCAGUCAAUUAUCUGGUUCCUUCUGGCAAUGAUGAACUUUACCUGGUUGAGGUAAUAAUCCCUCGUAACACUGAUGUAUUAGACUUUUCUCGGUUAACGUUAAGAGUGAGUAGGCUAGAUGAGGAGGCUGGUGAAUGGGUUGAGGUCACCGAUUUGGGAGACCGUGUUUUGUUUAUUGGACAGCCUGGAAACGUCUCAUGCUCGGCUAAGGAGCUUCCUGAUGGUUGUGGUCUGAGUGGGGAUUCAGUUUUGAUGACCUAUGAGCCAUGGAAAGUAACUCAUCCUUAUAGAUAUGGAGUACAAACAGGACGCGAGGAAGAUGAACUCAAUUGUUGGAGAUUUUCAACAGAGAAUCGUGUGACGAUCCUUGGUACAUCUCCUGUGGUGGCUCUCCAAGUUGAGCGCUAAGCCGUAAAGUCUUCGUUUGGAUUGUCUGAGACAUCUGUUGGUUUUGUUUUUUAAUCGUUCUUGACUUGUAGCUCAAGACAGAUACUACUGUUGUGUCUAUUUUUUUUUCACCUUGUUUUCAUGUAUUUUGAUGUUGGUGCAGAAGACACUGUUCCUCCUCCCUAAGUUCUGUUAAGUAAUGAAGAACUUUGUAAAGAAACAGAGAAUGGUCUGAAUACUUCUCGGUGUAUUAGACUGAAUGUAUAUCUGAUCUUUAAUAGACCUUACAACUGAAUGACCGAUACGAAUUCAGCUAAACAAACUCCACUAAACCUAUUCUAAGAAACGUGCUCAACUCCUAAAAAACAGGGGAGCUUAUUCCAGUUUACUCCUCCUUGCAGCACACUCCCAUCCUUCCUCUAAGUUUUUCAAAUAAUCAAAUAAUGGUAUAAUCGACAUUGCACUUUCGAUUAUGGCAUUAGACUAUAUGAUAAUGUAGAUUAUUUUAAGCUAAUUGUGACAUUUCAAAUUAAAUUAAAGAAAAAAGAAUUCAAAUAUUAAGGACCAAUUCGAACUGACUAAGUUAAACUUUAUUCUUCAAGUUCUGUUCUAUGUUGUAAAUAUGUGUAUCAUCGACCUUUGAUUCUUAUCCAAAAGGAAUCAUCAUGGCUUUAUUUCGUAAAAACUUCUUCUACUCUUAGGUUGUCUUUAUAUUGAAUGUUCAACUGUUAGUGUUUUGUGUUUAUUAGACUAAGUGUAGUUGACCGGUUUUCUUUCGCUGGUUUAACUCUAAAUUAAUUAGUUCAUUGGUUUAGUUUGGUUUAGUAACAGACUCAAUUGUAUAUAUGAUUGUAACAAAUUUCAUUUGACAAUUAAUGAGAAAUUCUUUCAACAAACUUUUCUCUCAAACUUCGUCUUCUCCAAAUCUUCCGCUAAUAUGGUAUCAGAGCCAUCAAAGCUCUAAUUCCUUCGUUUUCUUCUUCGCAUUGUCCUUUCUAAGCUCCAUUUUCGAAAUCUACGGUUUAUCCUGAAGCUUCGAUGGUGUCUUUGAAAGCGAUUCCUCGACGAUCCACUCGUUCGAAAGCUUCGACGAGUUCAGCUCGAAAAACGACUCGAUCCUCUUCUGAUGUUGCCGAUCUAGCUCCGAAUAGUCAUCCAACGAUCAAUCCUCAAGACUUUGGAUCUUCGCGAGUCCCAGCAAUACCAGAUUCUCAGGAUCCAACUCAAUCUCCAUACUAUAUGCAAAACGCUGAUCAUCCAGGUUUGCAAAUCAUUUCUAUGAAACUCGAUGGUUCAAACUAUGAUGAUUAGAAUGCUGCAAUGCUUAGUGCUCUAAACGCUAAGAAUAAGACUGGAUUCAUAGAUGGAACAUUACCUCGUCCUGCUGAAUCUGAAAUCAUUUUUAGGAUAUGGUCUACAUCUAUGGUGAAAUCGUGGCUCUUAAACUCUGUAUUGCCUUAGAUUUAUUGUAGUAUAUUGCGGUUGAGUGAUGCUACUGAUAUUUAGCGAGAUCUCCAUAGUCGAUUCUAUAUGACUAACUUGCCAAAGACUUUCAACCUUACACAAGAAGUUCAAGACCUCCGUCAAGGCUCUAUGAGUCUUUCAGAUUACUACACAACUCUCAAAACAUUGUGGAGUAACCUCGAGAGUACUGAUGAACCUGAUGAUCCUUGUGUGUGUGGGAAAGGUGCUCGUUUACAAUUGAAGGCUGAACGAGCCAAGAUAGUGAAAUUCCUUGCUGGUCUUAAUGAUUCGUAUUCAAUCAUCCGAAGACAAAUCAUCAUGAAGAAAGUUCUGCCCUCUCUCGCUGAAGUUUACAAUAUCCUCGAUCAAGAUGAGAAUCAGAAGAACUUCUCUAAUGUUGUUAGUCCUCCAGCAGCAUUUCAAGUUUCUGAAAAUGCUCUCUCUCCGAAUGCUGUUUGCUAUGUUCAGAAUGGACCAAAUAAAGGCCGUCCUAUCUGUUCCUUUUGCAACCCAAUUGGACAUAUUGCAGACAGAUGCUAUAAGAAGCAUGGUUUUCGUCCUGGCUUCACUCUUAAAGGCAAAACUUCUUCGGAUAAAACUCAGAAACCGACUCCUCCUAUUGCUGCUCAAGUGGCUUUAACUCCAGUUUCUGAGAACAGUUCUCUGAAUCUUCAGGGCUUUAUUGGAAAUCUCUCAAAGGAUCAGAUACAGAGUUUCAUAGCUCUUUUCAACUCCCAACUUCAGAACCAAUUCAUUAACUCCUCUAAUGAAGCGAGUCCUUCUCAAUCUGGUGAUUAUUCUGGUAUCUCCCUUUCCCCCUCUACUUAUUGCUUUGUUGGGAUCCUCACUGUCUCUCAACACACUCUAAGUACUCAAUCUUGGGUGAUAGACUCUGGUGUUACUCAUCACGUUUCUCACAAUAGAGAUUCAUUUAUCUCUUUGGAUACUUAUAUUGUGAGUUAUGUGAAUCUUCCCACCGGAUCAAACCUAAAGAUUAGUGGAGUAGGGAUGAUACGGAUCAAUGAAGAUUUGAUUCUCAACAAUGUCUUGUUCAUCCCUGAGUUUCGUCUGAACUUGAUCAGUAUAAGCUCCUUGACUACAGAUCUUAACUCCAGAGUUAUAUUUGACACGCCUUGCUGUGAAAUACAGGAUUUUACCGAGGGGUCGACGAUUGGAAGGGGUAGACGCAUUGGGAAGCUCUAUGUGUUGGAUACUCAGUCUUCAUCAGCUUUGUUGAAUGCAGUGAUAGAUGUGGGUAUUUGGCACAAACGUCUCGGUCAUGCUUCCUUCUCAAGAUUGGACACCAUCUCUGAUAUUUUAGGAACCACCAAGCAUAAGAAUAAAGGACCUGCUUUCUGUCAUGUUUGCCAUCUUGCAAAACAGAAGAAACUUUCUUUCUCCUACUCAAAUAAUAUGUGUAAUACAACAUUUGAAUUGUUGCACAUUGAUGUAUGGGAACCCUUUUCAGUUGAAACAGUUGAAGGAUAUCGAUAUUUCUUAACUAUAGUUGAUGAUCACUCCAGGGCUACAUGGAUAUAUCUUCUCAAAACAAAGAAUGAAGUUCUAUCUGUGUUUCCUGCUUUCAUACAACAAGUUGAGAACCGAUACAACACAAAAGUAAAAUCUGUCAGGUCUGAUAAUGCUCCUGAGUUGAAAUUCACAUCCUACUAUCAAGAAAAAGGGAUAACAACAUUUCACUCUUGUCCAGAGACUCCUGAACAGAAUUCAGUUGUUGAACUAAAACAUCAACAUCUUCUAAAUGUAGCUCGUGCAUUGAUGUUCCAAGCUCAAAUUCCUCUUGGAUAUUGGGGAGAUUGUGUCUUGACAGCUGCAUUCCUCAUUAAUAGAACUCCUUCUCCUCUUCUGCAGAAUAAAACUCCAUAUGAAGUUCUAACUGGUAAAGCUCCAGACUACUCACAGCUCAGAACAUUCGGAUGCCUUUGCUAUGGUUCUACUUCUCCAAAACAAAGGCAUAAAUUUCAACCUCGUUCUCGUGCCUGUGUAUUCUUGGGGUACCCUGCUGGUUAUAAGGGAUAUAAGUUGCUUGACUUGGGAGCAAUACCGUGUUGAUAUCAAGAAAUGUGACAUUUCAUGAAGACAUAUUUCCUCUGGCUACAGAUUCGAAGUCUGCAUCAUCUUUGGAUCUAUUCACACCAUUGGUUUCUUUGCCUUCAGGUAUUCCCAUUUCAAACACUAAUACUUCUCAUAACCCUCCCUUAUCACCAAAUCCAAACACAAAUACCUCCCCUAUAUCACCAACUUCUUCUCGUACAAAGAAAAUACCUGCUCAUCUCCAGAUUAUCAUUGCUAUUCAAUGCAUUCUGAUCUUAUCAAUCCUAUAUCUUCUUCCAUAUCCUACGAUAACAUUUCACCAUCUCAUUUAUCCUAUAUCAAUUCCGUCACCAAAAUUCCAAUCCCUCAUACAUAUAAUGAGGCAAAGAAUACAAAAGAAUGGUGUGAUGCACAGGAUACUGAACUCAGUGCAAUGGAAAGAACAAACACAUGGGUCGUUGAUACUCUACCAACAGGAAAGAAAGCAGUAGGUUGUAAAUGGGUAUUUACACUCAAAUUUCAUGCUGAUGGAAGUCUUGAACGCCACAAGGCUAGGUUGGUUGCUAAGGGUUAUACCCAGAAAGAAGGACUGGAUUAUACUGAAACCUUUUCACCAGUUGCGAAGCUUGCCACAGUCCGUUUGUUGAUAAAGGUUUCUGCUUCAAAGAAAUGGUUUCUGAAACAACUUGAUAUUUCCAAUGCUUUCCUGAAUGGUGACUUAGAUGAAGAAAUUUUUAUGAAGUUACCUGAGGGAUACGCUGAGAGGAAAGGGGCCUCUUUGCCCAAGAAUGCAGUUUUGAGACUCAAGAAGUCGAUUUAUGGCCUAAAACAGGCAUCUCGGCAAUGGUUUCUGAAGUUCUCUACCUCUCUAUUUCAAUUGGGGUUCACUAAAGGUUAUGGAGAUCACACACUUUUUGUUAAGGUUCAAGGCUCUGAUUAUGUUGCUGUUUUGGUGUAUGUGGACGACAUCAUCAUCGCCAGUACAACUGAACUUCUCGCAACUCAAUUAACUGAAGCUUUGAAACAGAGUUUUAAACUCCGUGAUCUAGGCCCUCUGAAAUAUUUCUUGGGUUUAGAAAUUGCUAGAACCUCUGCAGGCAUUUCCAUAUGUCAGAGGAAGUAUGCACUAGAAUUACUCACAUCCACGGGCAUGCUUGGUUGCAAACCUUCUUCAAUUCCGAUGAUACCCAACCUCAAGAUGUCCAAAACUGAUGGUGAAUUGCUUCCUAACUGAGAACAAUAUCGAAGUUUGAUUGGCAGACUGAUGUAUUUGACUAUCACCAGGCCUGACAUCACUUUUGCUGUCAACAAACUUUGCCAAUACUCUUCUGCUCCCCGAACAGCUCAUCUUCAAGCCGCUUAUAAAGUACUUCAAUACAUCAAAGGUAGUCUUGGCCAAGGUCUUUUCUACUCUGCAGAAGAUGAUCUAGCUCUAAAGGGAUUUGCAGAUACUGAUUGGGCAUCUUGUCCAGACAGUCGAAGAUCGACUACAGGAUUUCUAUGUUUCUUGGAUCAUCUCUCAUUUCUUGGAGAUCAAAGAAACAACAGACUAUCUCUCGAUCUUCUACAAAAGCAGAGUACAGAGCUCUAGCUCUAACUUCUUGCGAAAUGGUUUGGCUACUUAUUUUACUCAAUGAUCUACGAGUAAACACCAGAAUAGUCCCUAUCCUAUUCUCUGACAGUACUGCGGCCAUUCACAUUGCGACUAACCCUGUGUUCCACGAGAGGACUAAACACAUUGAGGUGGAUUGUCACACUGUUAGAGAAAAGUUGGACAAAGGCCUGCUUAAAACACUCCAUGUUUCUACUGAAGAUCAGGUUGCUGAUAUUCUUACUAAACCUUUGUUCCCUGCUCAAUUUGAACACUUAAAAUCCAAGAUGAGUCUCUGCAACAUCUUUGUCUCAUCUUGAGGGGGCCUAUUAGACUAAGUGUAGUUUACCGGUUUCUUUUCGCUGGUUUAACUCUAAAUUAAUUAGUUCAUUGGUUUAGUUUGGUUUAGUAACAGACUUAAUUGUAUAUAUGAUUGUAACAAACUUCAUUUGACAAUUAAUGAGAAAUUCUUUUAACAAAAUUUUCUCUCAAACUUCGUCUUCUCCAAAUCUUCCGCUAAUAGUGUUUCUUUGAUAAUUUUGUUUAUGGUUGUUUUUCGCUUGAACUUUUCUGAUCAAUUUCUGACUCUAAAUGGCGACCUUUUUAUUGCGGUUUUUAAAGAAGGUUUUUAAAAACCACUUUUGAUUUACCAAUCACAUAUGUUAUAACAUGUAUAUGCGUUUUUUGUCAAAUACGCUCACGAUUUCCGAGACAAUUAUAUUACUCACAACAGAUGCAAUUACGCAUUUGAGUUUAUACCACAGGUAAAAUACAGCGGGACAAACAAAACAGUGGGACAAGUAUUUUUUUUUGUUCGGUUAACUAUUUGUGUUUGAUUUUUGUUUGGUUAUUUAUUUUGUAUGUACCAUACUUAAAUCGUACUAUACUCUUAAAUCUUUUUUUUUCACACAAUCAAAUACAGAGACUCUUAACACUAAUCUUGAUUGGUGAAUGUAAAAAGUUAGAUUUAAAAAAAAAAAUAAAAUAUCACACAUUCCGCAAGUAACUUUUUUACUAAUCAAACACUUAAUUUUAUACAACUUAUUAUGUAUCAAUUGUAUUUUUGUUCCUGCAUGUAUCGCAGUUGAACCAUAUUGAAGUUCAUAAAUUUAUACAAUUGUUUAUUUAUUAAUCAAAACAAAUAACUUAAUUACAAUUAAUUAAUUAUUAUAAAUUUAUAAUAUAUUUAUCUAUAAUCCGCACCGUUUUAGUCUUAUUCACCAUUCAAAUAUUUUAUUGUGGACCGCAAGCUGUGUUUUUCACCAAUCAAACAUUAUUUUAUAUCGCUUAUUAUAUACAAACCGCAGUUAUCUUUCUCCCGCACGUACCGCAGUUGAACCGUACCACACUCUUAAACCGCUUUUCCUGCACAGCAAAAAAUGGUGUUACCAUUCAGACCCUCUGAAGUUCCCUUUUACUCAAAAGAACCCACAACAAAUUUUUUUUUUUUCGUCUGCUUCAUUAUAUAAAAGUCUAACAUGGGCACAUUACAUAUGGUUUCGAGGUCCAACGCUGUGAGACCCCGCUCCCUUCUUCUUUUCUGGAAACCAAACGGACCGGUUAUUAAAUCCAUGAGAUUCCGAAUCCGCCUUUCAUCUGGAUUGACUAUCAACUCUGAACGCCUCCAACCGCUCUUGUUAGUGAGCCCAACGCUGUAUACUCUGGGGCCUAACGUGCUUCAUUAUAUAAAAGUCUAACAUGGGCACAUUAACCGCCCUUGUCAGUGAGCCCAACGCCGUAUACUCUGGAGCCCAACGUGCUUCAUUAUAUAAAAGCCUAACAUGGGCACAUUACAUAUGGUCUCAAGGUCCAAAGCUGUGAGACCCCGCUCUAUUCUUAAUUUCCGGGAACUAGACGGACCGGUUAUCAAAUUCAUGAGACUCCGAAUCCGCCUUUCAUCUAGAUUGGCUAUCAACUCUGAACGUCUCCAUCCGCCCUUGCCAGUGAGCCCAACGUCGUAUACUCUGGGGUCCAACGUCCUUUCUCUAGGCCCGUUGGCCCACCAACCACUCCUUCCAGUGAGCCUAAAGCCUUCUCUCUUAGGCCCGUUGGCCCACCACUAUCUGACAGUUGGUUUCUUUCUAGGCCCAUGGGCCCACCCCUGUCUGACGGUCAUGAUUCGCUUGGUCCGGGAGGCUUGUAAGAGUUGUCUACUGUCUCUACAAUCACCACGUGAUCUUUUUUUGUCCUCACUCGCACGGUACCGCAGAUUACUUCUCGGUAGGUCACCCAUCCUGAGAUUGCUCCAGCAUAAGCACGCUUAACUCUGGAAAAGAUAAGUGCACUUUGAUGACAUAGGUAGUCAAAUCAAUUCUUAUAAGUCUUUUUCACAUAUAUCGGAAAUCGGGAUGUCACAAUUCUCCCCGACUUCCAAGGAAUUCGUCCUCGAAUUCUUAACCACGUCUCAAGACACCAUCUGGGUCAAAGCCGGUUGGCUAACCUGACGCUCUGAUACGAAAUUGUGAGACCUUGCUCCCUUCUUCUUUUCCGGGAACCAAACGGACCGGCUAUCAAAUCCAUAAGACCCCGAAUCUGCCUUUCAUCUGGAUUGGCUAACAACUCUAAACGCCCCCAACUGCCCUACCAAUGAGCCAAACGUCGUAUAUUCUGGGGCACAACGUCUUCUCUCUCUAGGUCGUUGGCCCACCAACCGCCCUUACCAGUGAGCCCAACGUCUUUUUUCUUAGGCCUGUUGGCCCACCACUGUCUGAUGGUUGGCCUCUUUCUAGGACCAUGGGCCCACCCCUGUCCGAUGGUUGGGAGUCGCUUGGUCCGGGAGGCUCGUACGAGUUGUCUACUGUCCCUGCAAUCACCCCGUGAUCUUUCUCCAUGCUUUGUCCUCACUUGCACGGUACCACAGACUACUUCCCGGUAUGUCACCCAUCUUUAGAUUGCUCUAGCAUAAGCACGUUUAACUAUGGAAUUCUCUCCAGACACUUGAUCGAAAAAGAUAAAUGCACUUUAUAGGUAGCCAAAUCAAUUCUUAUAAGCCUUUUUCACAUAUACCGGAAGUCGGAUGUCACAAAAGCUAUUACAAUUUAAGCCCAAAUAUUGAUCCACUAACAUAAUGGGAUAAUGAUGGAUAAUAUUAUUACACGUGUAACACGCGUGUCAGCCUAGGGCAGAAGAUUGGUGGACGAUGAGGAGAUGCCUCCGACAACGUCAUUGAAACAGAGCUCUGCUGGAAAACCAAAUAUCCGAUGAAUUUGAAAUCGAAAAUUUAACAGAUUGGAAUCCUCCUCUUCGAAAACCAUUAUAUAAACUCCUUGCACAGCGAGAUUCCGGUUAUCCAAAAAGCUUCUUGCCUCCAUAAGAUUAACGCUGAUCAUCUCGAGCUCCAGACCAAUAACCCUUCGCCUUUAAUAAGGUUCAUCAUGAGGGUAUGAAGGGAGAUAUAACUCCCAGCCAAGAGAAGACGAUACCAUUUUUUGGAGAAGAAGUAGAAUCUUCAACGCCGGAUCUGAUCUGUAGAAGAGAAAAACCUUAAAAAAACUGAAACUUUUUACUUUAUCGCCAGAAGACCAAAUCAAUUCUUCAACCUAAAAAACUCUUCACUCCACUAAGGAUUAGCAAAGAGUGUUUUACUCUAUGAAGAAGAAGAAUUGAUACAUCAAACAAGUAAAAAACCGAUAAUGGAAGAGAAGUUCUGUUCAACGGAAAUUUAUUAAUCCAACUAGAUGAAAGGUCUGAUUGGGAAGGACUGUGACUGUAGAUUUUAAUUUUUUAUUGUAAGUGUAAAGAUUUUUGGCUGUAAAAUAAUGACUGUGACUUUAAAAAAAAAAUAAAAGUCACAUGUUUAGGCUUUUAAAACUUAAGUGUCGAUUAUGUGAAAAACUAGAAAGAAAAAGCUGUGAGUAAAUUUAGGAGCAAUUUUUUGACUUUAAAAACUGUUAAAUAAAAAAAGUCUGAUUGGUUAAUGAAUGACUUUUAAGAUUUUUAAUUUUUUUUUUAAAAGUCUCUACAGUUUUAAAAUUUUAUUUGCCAAUCAGAGCCGAAAUCCAGCGUUGGAAAGAGAAAUCCAAUUUGGAUGCACUAGUUGGAAAGAGAAAUCCGAUUUGGAUCGGAAAAACAAAAGAAUACAAACUCAUUCUCUCUCUGAAAGAUUUUUGAGAGAGAAUUUUACUGGUUGUGAAAAGAAAAAAAUAAGUUGAAUUAUAUAUGAGUAUAUUUGUUCUUGUUGAUAUAUUUUUUUGUUCUUAUCAAAAAUGUCAAAUAAGACUAUAUGCAAUAGACAGAGAAAUUUAGUGUAUUUAAAUGCAAUACCUAGGCAAGUGGAAAAGAGAAAUUGCCACAUGACUACGGAAAUGAAAAUUUUCCUUGAAGAGAAAUUUAAAAAGGUCUCACAAAAACACAGACGUGACAAAUUAUUGAUGAAUAUAUAUAUUUUUAUUGUCUUUCUUUUCUUCUUUCUUCUUAAAUGCAAUUUUUUUAAUAAUUGAUCAAAAAAAUUUUAAAAAAAAUUGCACUAUUUUUUUUAAAAGAUUCUAUAAAUAGAACUCUCUUUUAUGUCAUUUGGAUACAAAAAAAAAAUCUCAAGUUUUAACACUCUUUUCAUUUCUUCUAUUACAUUAUCACUCUCUUUGAUUUUUUUUUUUCAAUCUUCAACAUCCUUAUGGAUCCAUCUAGCAAUUACAAUUUUCCACCGAAUUAUAGUUUUCUAAACCCACAAAAUCCAAACAUAUAACCACCAAAUCCAAAUAACCACGCCCAGAAAUCCUAUGAAUUCAGGAAUGCAUCCAAAUUUUCAAAUGCAAUAUAUGAUGCCACCAAAGUUUGGCAUGAAAUACCCAUACAAUCAACCAUAUAUGCCAUAUGGCUAUCCACCAAUUCCGGGAUACACCAAUGUUUCACCUAAUAAGAAUUAUCCUAACAGUCAAUCCACGAACGAGCCAAUCGGUUUUAGUAGUGGAUCGACUGAUACCACACAAUUUUGCACCCAAAUCUCUUUGGGAGAUGCUGGCGAGGAUACUCUAAAUCUCCAACCAACCCAACAAUCAGCAAAGAAGAGGGCAAGUUACGCUACUUGGAGUUCUGAAGACAAUAAAGCGCUACUAAAUGGUUAUUUCCACUUCAGCACUAUAGUGAAUUGGGGAAUAAUCAAAAGGGUGAUACUAAUUUUUGAUGAAGUGAUGUGGAAGAAAGAGAAAAUGAGUUGGAGGAAAAAAAAAGUGAGUCGGAGGAAAAAGAUAUCAAUUUGUGGAGUUGAGUGUAAAUUGAGAAAAAGAAAUGAUGUGGAAAGAGUAUAAAAUGAUGUGGAAGAAAAAUAUAAAAGGAAAUUUGUCUUUCUAUUGGAGAUGAAAAAUAAAAGAUUUUUGAGGAAGAUCGUGGCUUCUAGCCUUCUAGGUUUACAACGAAGGCUUUGAAUGGUGCACAUAUCAUUCAAUGCAGGUCAAUUUAAGCAGAUCAAAAAAAUAUUGUUAAAAAAAAUACAUUUGGCCCGUCGAGGGAUAGGUCCGGGAACCAUCCUCAAUUGGCUCGUUAUAAAUGAUUUAGGAAAAGAUAAUGCCUCUUGCUCGGGCUAUUUUUGCAAUAUAAUCUACCCGAAUAUUUUCACUUCUGGGGAUAUGGGAUAGAUUGAAGUCCGAAGAGCUCUCUCGAAGAAAUCGGAAGGAUUCCAGUUCUGAUGAGAAGGACAGCCAGUCCACUGGGGCUUCGGUCAUAUAUAGAAGGUCUGAACAAUCAGUCUGAAAGUGGACGGAAAGGAUUCGUCUAUCUUUUAAGCAAGACAUAGCCCAUAAUAGGCUUUCCAAUUUCGCAUGAAGUGCCGAUAGGCUUCUGCGGCAGGCCUUGUAACUAGCUGACGUGUCAAAAAAAAAGAAUGUAUAAAAAAAUAUAGGAUAGAAAAGCGAGAAAAACAAUAAAAGAAAAAAAAAGCUGGUUACAAAACAGCACCAACUAUGAGAAAUCCACCAAUCCACAUGUGAUGUGUGAACAAUGAUAGUUGUGUAGCAUAGUCAGUAGCUAGAUAUGGAUAAGGGGGCAUGGAAUACAUAUGGUGGGCUACAACAAUGGUUAAAGAGCCUAACAUAGCUAGGUUCAAAGGUCUCACCUCCUCUAUCGUCCUUCAAGCUCCAUCCGAACCCGCUGACGGCCCUUGGCCAUUCCAGGAUGCAUCCACCUUGCAAAGUGGAAACCUCCGAGAAACGGUCGUAAAGGUCGGGAUCAUCGGAAUGCUCGGCAACUCUGCUGAUAAGUCUUCAUCUUCUUCCGGUUGAUUUGCUAAAUUCCAACUCUCUGCUUCCACCUUCGUAUGGAUCAAAGUAUCUACCGGGGAGAUAUCUUUCCCGUUGAAAACUUUGUCGUUUCUCGCUUUCUAAAUAUACCACAUGAUCCAGGGAUAGAUAUCCUUUUGAGGAUCUGUCAUUCCUAACUCUUUUGUUUUCCAGAAGAGGAAACUCAUAUUUUGAUAAACAGAGGUGCUCGGGAUGAGGCCCAGAAGGGACGGGAAGUCCGAUAACGCCCAGACUUGCAAAGCCGGGAGACAUAAAAACAAUAGAUGGUUAAAAGAUUCUUCAGGGUUCCACACAGGGACAACGCUUAUUUGUGCCCAAAUGUCUAUAAGUUAGGUUCUGGCACGUAGCCACACAUCCUGAUAAGGACUGCCACAUAAAAUGUUUCAUUUUUCCAGUUAUCCGGAUUUUCCACACGGAAUUUAAAAGGGUUUUGAUACUAGGUUCUGCCUCUUGUUAAAUCUUUGAUCUUUUAAUCAGAUCAUAUCCCAAAUUCGACUGAAUAUAUUCCUGAUUUAGUAUGAUUCCAUGCAUAUCCAUCCAGAGUACAGAUACUAGUAGGUCUCAAUCCAAGGAUCAUAAGAACUUCCUCAGGUUGGAAAAAUUCUUGAAGGAGGGCCACAUCCUAUUGCUUAGUGUCUUGGCGGAUAAAAGAGUAUACCAAUAGUCCAGGGUCCCGAUACCCGAUCUAGGGGUUAGCUCUCGCGGGGCGUGCCCUAAUAUUGGGGAUCCAGGGUUCACUCCAAACUCUGGUGUUGAGUCCUGACCCGAUCGUCUUUCUUAGCCUUAUUUUCAGGAACGGUUUUGCGGCCAUCAUACUCCACCAUCCAUAAAAUGGUGAGUAGACUUGGCGGUCCUCUAGGGGAUCCAAUUGUCGGUAAUAUCUUCCUCUUAGGACCCGAGCUAGAAGGGAUGAGGGGUACUGAAUGAGUCUCCACAAUUGUUUUGCUAAGAGGGCUAGAUUAAAGUCAUUAAGAUCUCUAAAUCCAAGUCCACCCAAGUCCUGAGGGAUGCAAAUCUUAUUGCAAGCGAUCUAGUGAAUCCCACUGUUACUUUGUUUCGAACUCCACCAGAAAUUGGCAAUGGCGCUCCGAAGCUUAGACAUUAUACCUUGUAGAAGGAGGAAACAGGACAUGACAUAAGUCGGAACCGCUUGAGCCACUGAUUUUAUUUGGAUUUCUUCUCCACCUUUGGAAAGAAGUCUAGCGGACCAAUUAUUAACCUUGCUGCUUAGACGAUCAUGGACAAAGGAGAAGACCUUCUUCUUGGAUCCACAUAUUUGUUCUGGUAGCCCCAGAUACAUGCCCAUACCCUCUUCAGUAGAAAUACCGAUAGUGCUUUUGAUAGCACGCUUCAGGUCCAAUUCAACUCUAUUUCCAAACAUGAUUGAAAAUUUGUCCAGGUUUAGUUGUUGACCCGAUGGCAUUCCAUAAGUGUUGAUAAUAUUGAAGAUUUCCGCGCCCUGCUGGUGGGCUUUCAUCCUAGAAAUACGAUCUUCCUCCUCUGCUCUCUUCAGAAGCGAUAUUAGGCUUUCUGUACAGAAUAAAAAGGAAGGGGGAAAGAGGAUCUCUUUGCCUCAAUCCUCUCGAUUGUCUAAUAUUGCCGGAAGGCGCACUAUUAAUAAGAACCUGGUAAGAGACCGAGGAGAUACAGAACACCAAUAGCUUGACCCAUCUCAGAGAAAAUUCUAACUUGAGUAGUAAAGCUUCAAUAAAUCACACCAUUAUAUCCGGUCAUAUGUUUUGCUCAUAUCUGUUUUUAUCGCCAUAAAGUUUUCUCUGCAUGUUGAAUUUGUACGGAGUGCAUGAAAAUUGUUUUGUGCCAAUAGAAUGUUAUCCGUAAUGAGACAUCUAGCCAUGAAGGCCGAUUGUGUUUCUGAUAUCAGAUUUGGUAAUGUCUUCUUAAGAUGUUUGCACAAAAAUUUUGAGAUGAUCUUGUAGCUUACAUUACAGAGAUUGAUCAGACGGAAUUCCGUCAUCGCUCUACAUUUAUUUUUUUUAGAAAAUGAUAUAUAUUAGUCUGAUUAAGUGUAGGAUAAAAAAUUUCAAUUCAACAAAAAUUUUCAUCAAUUUUUUAAUGUUUUGACGGAUAAAUAGCCAAAAUUUUUGAUAGAAUUUACUAGUCAUUCUACUAUUGGAAUCUGGCACUUUGUUCGGAUUAAUGUCGAAAAGAGUUUUUUUUUUUUUUUCUUCUCAAAUGACAUUUCCUCUCCAUUUAUUCUGCUUAACGCCAAAAUGAAUCAAUUAUCUAUAUUUGUUAGCAGAUCUUAAAUAGCCUAUUGUAACUUCUCUUUACUGUGGGUGGAUUUAGGGUGGUGAACCCUAGAAAUCUUAAUCUUUUUUUUUUUUUUUUUCAGAUUUCGCAAAUCAGCAAAAAUGGCAACGAAGAAGAAGACAACCGAAAUGGGUAUGGAUUCUUUCUCCCUCGUUGGUACAAAAUUACAAAAAAAAAUCUAAUUUUUAUCCAACUGGGGAGAUGGAUUUGAUCCCCUGUUCAAUUUAUGCGAUUAAUCUUUCUGUUCAUUAAUCUUUCUUCUAGAUUAGGAAAUCGCAGCAAUCAGCAAAGAUUGCAGAACAUAUAACGGAAAACAAGACAUCAUCAGUCAUGUCAGGCUUGUCUCUUCUCGCGGAUUCUGUACGAACUCUUCUUCUCCCCGCUUGCUACUUCUUAAUUUCAGUGCAUAACCACGAGUUUUAGUUUGGAAAAAUUUGGUUUGGUUAUCUGUUUUUUUCGAUGUUUGUAGGUUGUCCUUGCUUGGUGUAUGUAUGUAUGGUUAAAAGAAGUUUCGUAUAACGCUUACCAAAUUGACAUUUUUUCUUUCAGGUUUCAAAACUGCAUCUGUCUUCGUCUCCGUCACAACCUGCAACGAAAGAAUCUGUACCGGACUGGUCUCUUCUCCCUGAAGAGCUACUGCACAUUAUCUCAGAGAUUCUGGAGGACUGUUUCGAUGUUAUUCAUGCUCGUUCUGUUUGCCGCCCUUGGCGCUCCAACUUCCCCUUUCCUUCUUGGCUAUUACGCACACGUUAUU
rnacentral:lncRNA from 1 species